UCUGUGUGGGUUGGAUCUAUUAAUACAAAUGUCUAUAUAUUUAUAUCUAAAUAUUCAUUGUCUGAAAGUCUCCACCAUUUGCUUUCUCUUGUUUUGCAUGUAUAUAUAUAAACAUCUUUUGUAUUUCUUACCUAAACUGUUAUAUUUAAUAGAUCUAAUUUGUUUAUCUGCAUAAUUGCCUCUAUAUCUGCUCAACUGGAUCCCUCUUAUAGCCAUUCUUUACCCCAUGGAAAUGA